CUUAGUUGGUUGACGACGAGAGAGAGCACGUUUGUCAGCAGUCAUGCAAUGGACAUGUCUGUCUACAUGCGUGCUCUCUUUUGCCGUCAUACAAUUUUCUC
rnacentral:pre_miRNA from 9 species